CCUACGGGUGGCAGCAGUGGGGGAUAUUGCACAAUGGGGGAAACCCUGAUGCAGCGACGCCGCGUGCGUGAAGAAGUAUUUCGGAAUGUAAAGCUCUAUCAGCAGGGAAGAAAAUGACAGUACCAGACCAAGAAGCCCCGGCUAACUACGUGCCAGCAGCCGCGGUAAUCCGUAGGGGGCAAGCGUUAUCCGGAUUUACUGGGUGUAAAGGGAGCGUAGACGGUUAGGUAAGUCUGGAGUGAAAGCCCGGGGCCCAACCCCGGGACUGCGUUGGAUACUGUGUAACUGGAGUGCAGGAGGGGGAGGCGGAAUUGCUGGUGUAGCGGUGAAAUGCGUAGAGAUCAGGAGGAACACCGGCGGCGAAGGCGGCCUGCUGGACUAAUACUGACGUUGAGGCUCGAAAGCGUGGGGAGCAAACAGGAUUAGAUACCCGUGUAGUC
rnacentral:rRNA from 1 species